UACAUAAGGAGCAAGCGUUGUCCGAAAUCAUUGGGCGUAAAGAGCUCGUAGGCGGUAUCGAAAGUCAGCUGUGAAAUCACCAGGCUCAACCUGGUAGGGUCAGCUGAAACUUCGGUACUUGAGGGUAGAAGAGGAAAGCGGAAUUCCCGGUGUAGCGGUGAAAUGCGUAGAUAUCGGGAGGAGCACCAGUGGCGAAGGCGGCUUUCUGGUCUAACCCUGACGCUGAGGAGCGAAAGCUAGGGGAGCAAACGGGAUUAGAUACCCCGGUAGUCCCUGA
rnacentral:rRNA from 1 species